AAAGAAUGAGAUCUUGCCAUUUGUGACAAAAUUGAUAGACCUAGAGGGUAUUAUGCGAGGUGAAAUAAAUCGGAGAAUGACAAAUAAAUACCAUCUGAUUUCACUUAGAUGUGGAAUAAAAAAAAACCAAACAAGUCAACAAACAGAAUCAUAACUACAGAGGACACAUUGGUGGUUGGUAGAGGGGAGGUGGGUAGAAAGUAAGGACAAAAUAGGUGAAGAGGAGGAAGAGGUACAAAUUCCAGUUAUAAAAUAGGUAAGUCACAGGAAUGAAGAAUACAGUAUAUGAAAUAUCGUCAAUAAUAUUGUAUUAAUGUUGUAUGGUGACAGAGGGUAACUACACAUACGGUAGUGAGCAUAGCAUAGUGUCUACAAUUGUCCAAUCUGAAUUUGUAUACUGAAAUGAGUGUAACAUUGUCUGUCAACUAUACUUCAAUUAAAGAUAGGUAUUAGGGAAAACAGUCUCUGAAAAUAUUGGGAAACAUGUCAGCCAAAACAUUUGUCCUCACACCUACAUUUGUAAAGACAUUGGAAUCCUUAUCACCAGUGUUGAUUAUGUUCAGUACGCUCUUUUGGAGCCCGUUUGGGGCAUUCAGGGAGAGGCUACCUUGUAUAAGAAAGAUCUAAAUAAGAACAUUGUAGAUAGGAACAGUUGUAAUAUACAGUUGACCCUUGACCAACAUGGUUUCGAACUGUGCGGGUCUAUUUACUUACACAUGGAUUAUUUUUGGAUACUGUAUAGUACUGUAAGUGUAUUUCCUCUUCCUUCUGUUUUUUUCAGUGUCAUUUUUUUGCCCUGGCUUAUUCCACUGUACAAAACAUGUACGAAUCAACUGUUUUAUGUUACCGAUGAAGCGGGAGAUGGAGAAAGGAGUACCAGAGCACCAGAAGCUGCUACGGAAUUUGAACGAGGACCCUAUAGAUCUCCUUUAGUAUCUACUGAUGAUUCAAUUCUAAAUCAAGAUCCAGUAUGGAAAGUGUCACGAAAAUAUGUACAGAUUUCGAACAAAAAUUAUCUGAUUUGAAAAAUAAAUAGAAACAAUUUACUGGGUGCUUACAAAACAUUGUCAUUGUUUCCCAAUUCAUCACACUAUAUGGAAAAAUCUUGAUUAAAGGAAAAUGUUUUUGUG